rnacentral:rRNA from 1 species
UACGAAGGGGGCUAGCGUUGCUCGGAAUUACUGGGCGUAAAGGGCGCGUAGGCGGACAGUUUAGUCAGAGGUGAAAGCCCAGGGCUCAACCCUGGAAUUGCCUUUGAUACUGGCUGUCUUGAGUUCGGGAGAGGUGAGUGGAAUGCCGAGUGUAGAGGUGAAAUUCGUAGAUAUUCGGCGGAACACCAGUGGCGAAGGCGACUCACUGGCCCGAUACUGACGCUGAGGCGCGAAAGCGUGGGGAGCAAACAGG